rnacentral:lncRNA from 1 species
AUUUGCAAUUAAUUAGUGGUUAAUGAUGCUCUAUGCUUGAAGCUUAUGCUCUGUUGUUUUUUUUUGUUUGUUUGUUUGUUUUGUUUUGUUUUUUGAUUAUUAUUUAUUUAUUUAUUUUCCCCUGAUACUGUCAUCUAUUAAUUGUUCUUAUUUUUGUUGGCUUUCAGGCAUAGUUCAGUAUUUGUAAUGCUUUCCCUAAUGGAGCUAUUUACAUCCUGGUGUCAAUUCACUUUUCAUUUUGUUUCAAUCAGCUAAAUUAAGUAUACUUUAAAAAUCUCUCACUGUACAAUAUUUUCUUUAGCCAAUCAGAAAUUGAGUCAGAAGGAAACCAAACACAAUCUUCUACAUUUUUUUUUUUUUGUAACUUUUUUUUUUUUUGUCAGAAAUAUAGAAAUAUGUUCCAGGAGUACCAGUGUGCAGAGAUGGAAAACCUCUUGCAUCUCUCAGUUACCCUCUUUCCUGUUCUGCUAAGGAUCUCAUCAGCCUUUCUUUUCUCAGGACCUGGUCAGGAGCCCUUGAUGCAUUUCUCCUCUUUUAUGAUCCCCAGUUCCUUUUCAGGGUUGUUCCCAGCUCUGCCACUAAAGCCUGCAUUCCUGUCUCCCAGCAAGGAGUGGGGCUGUACCACAGCGCCUGCUGUCAGCCCGACCCAUCCAAGUGGCUGGAGCGAAACAACCAGUUUGCAGCUGUUGAAAAUAAUUUCCAUGUCAGUGUCCGCAAUCUGGUGA